GACUUGUUCAGCCACAGACUGACAUCAUGGAGCACUAGAAAUCCGAGGGGCUUCGGUCAAGGAUGAAGUGGUGGAGAUAAAGGCACCACAUGAUUCAUUAAUGUCUUAUGUGGCCUAGACAGGAAGGAGGGACAAAGAUACAGAACUACCAUGUGCUUUCCUAUGCUGCAUCACAACACUGAAACAAGAUAUUCUGGUUUGUCUUUCUGUGCUGAAGGACAUUCAAAAUAAAGACAGCCUUCCCUCAAAAAUAACAGGCUGUAUAAUCCCAGAGGCACACCUUUCAGGCCAUUCCAGCACCCGCUUUAUCUCCAGUGAUCUCUGA
rnacentral:lncRNA from 1 species